AUGAAGAGUUUGAUCCUGGCUCAGGAUGAACGCUAGCUACAGGCUUAACACAUGCAAGUCGAGGGGCAGCAUUUUAGUUUGCUUGCAAACUAAAGAUGGCGACCGGCGCACGGGUGAGUAACACGUAUCCAACCUGCCGAUAACUCGGGGAUAGCCUUUCGAAAGAAAGAUUAAUAUCCGAUAGUAUAUUAAAACCGCAUGGUUUUACUAUUAAAGAAUUUCGGUUAUCGAUGGGGAUGCGUUCCAUUAGUUUGUUGGCGGGGUAACGGCCCACCAAGACUACGAUGGAUAGGGGUUCUGAGAGGAAGGUCCCCCACAUUGGAACUGAGACACGGUCCAAACUCCUACGGGAGGCAGCAGUGAGGAAUAUUGGUCAAUGGACGAGAGUCUGAACCAGCCAAGUAGCGUGAAGGAUGACUGCCCUAUGGGUUGUAAACUUCUUUUAUAUGGGAAUAAAGUAUUCCACGUGUGGGAUUUUGUAUGUACCAUAUGAAUAAGGAUCGGCUAACUCCGUGCCAGCAGCCGCGGUAAUACGGAGGAUCCGAGCGUUAUCCGGAUUUAUUGGGUUUAAAGGGAGCGUAGGUGGAUUGUUAAGUCAGUUGUGAAAGUUUGCGGCUCAACCGUAAAAUUGCAGUUGAAACUGGCAGUCUUGAGUACAGUAGAGGUGGGCGGAAUUCGUGGUGUAGCGGUGAAAUGCUUAGAUAUCACGAAGAACUCCGAUUGCGAAGGCAGCUCACUAGACUGCAACUGACACUGAUGCUCGAAAGUGUGGGUAUCAAACAGGAUUAGAUACCCUGGUAGUCCACACAGUAAACGAUGAAUACUCGCUGUUUGCGAUAUACAGUAAGCGGCCAAGCGAAAGCAUUAAGUAUUCCACCUGGGGAGUACGCCGGCAACGGUGAAACUCAAAGGAAUUGACGGGGGCCCGCACAAGCGGAGGAACAUGUGGUUUAAUUCGAUGAUACGCGAGGAACCUUACCCGGGCUUAAAUUGCAUUUGAAUAAUCUGGAAACAGGUUAGCCGCAAGGCAAAUGUGAAGGUGCUGCAUGGUUGUCGUCAGCUCGUGCCGUGAGGUGUCGGCUUAAGUGCCAUAACGAGCGCAACCCUUAUCUUUAGUUACUAACAGGUCAUGCUGAGGACUCUAGAGAGACUGCCGUCGUAAGAUGUGAGGAAGGUGGGGAUGACGUCAAAUCAGCACGGCCCUUACGUCCGGGGCUACACACGUGUUACAAUGGGGGGUACAGAAGGCAGCUACCUGGCGACAGGAUGCUAAUCCCAAAAACCUCUCUCAGUUCGGAUCGAAGUCUGCAACCCGACUUCGUGAAGCUGGAUUCGCUAGUAAUCGCGCAUCAGCCAUGGCGCGGUGAAUACGUUCCCGGGCCUUGUACACACCGCCCGUCAAGCCAUGAAAGCCGGGGGUACCUGAAGUACGUAACCGCAAGGAGCGUCCUAGGGUAAAACUGGUAAUUGGGGCUAAGUCGUAACAAGGUAGCCGUACCGGAAGGUGCGGCUGGAACACCUCCUUU
rnacentral:rRNA from 2 species